CCCAAUUCAAGACCAUGCGCUUUAGAAACUACUGCAAGUUUACUUGCACUUCCGGUUCCGUAUGUUCCAGGGCCUAGGGAGGACGCGCGCGGCCCAGAGGACUCGACUUAAACCAAUGACUCGACUUGACUCGAGUGAAACUGCUGACUCGACUCGACUCGAGUGAAGCCACUGACUCGACUCGAUCAGAAACUGAAAUGACUCGACUCAUGACUCGACCUAUAGGUGACUCGUUACAACACUG